GCCUUCGUGGUGUAACGGUAGCACACUCGGCUCGUAUUCGAGAGGUCCAGGUUCGAGUCCUGGGAAGAGCA
rnacentral:tRNA from 1 species